GGUUUCGUUGUGUAGUUGGUUAUCACGUCUAACACAUUGAAGGUCUCCGGUUUAAACCCAGGCGAAGCCA
rnacentral:tRNA from 1 species